rnacentral:piRNA from 1 species
UGGAAGUUUGUGUUUCUUCUUGUGAGU